rnacentral:rRNA from 1 species
UACGGAGGGUGCUAGCGUUAUUCGGAAUUACUGGGCGUAAAGCGCACGUAGGCGGCUUUGUAAGUUAGAGGUGAAAGCCUGGAGCUCAACUCCAGAAUUGCCUUUAAGACUGCAUCGCUUGAAUCCAGGAGAGGUGAGUGGAAUUCCGAGUGUAGAGGUGAAAUUCGUAGAUAUUCGGAAGAACACCAGUGGCGAAGGCGGCUCACUGGACUGGUAUUGACGCUGAGGUGCGAAAGCGUGGGGAGCAAACAGG